UACCGCCCUGGAGGUGGUCCCAGACCGAGCACACUGCAUAAAGGUGGGCUCGGAUGGUCGCUGGGGUCGACCUUCCCCAUGCGGACUGAGGCUCUGGGUCGAGACAGCAGCGCUGGAUCCGAGGGCGGUGAUAAUUUCUCACCCAGGGUAAUCCAUGAGAUGAGAUGUGAGUGCAUGGUUCCACAUGUGAGCAGAGCAUCUGUGAGCAGUGGCUGAGUUUGUUACUGAAGUCACAAAACAGCACAAAACGUGUAAUGCUGGAGAAGAAAUAUUGUUUAAAGGAGCAUGGUCCUUCUGCGGAGUUAUGUAUAUGCAAGUGAACUUCCAAUAUGAACACUUGCUACACAAUCUUUUUAAAAAUAAUAAAUUAUAACAUGUUAAGAACAAGUAAAACUUGAAGUCUUCUGACUAUGUAUGUCAAGCUGAUGGCUUUGUAUUAAAUUCAGGACAUAUUUCAGGUAGUAGUAGAUUACUUAGUUUUACAUCAGUAUUACGUGUUAACUCUUCAAAAGAAGCUUUCUGUGUGCACACGUAGUGGUACACACAGAAACACCUCUUUUAUUCAAAUUUAAUAGGGACGUACAGGUGGGGCACUUGUGAGAUCAUUUAUUUCAUUGGUAAGCACUAGAGGCCAUGGUCCAGGGGUUUUGUUCUUUUGAUUAGGUUUUGAUUCAAUAAUAACAGUUCUUAAUAAAUGUACCUAAAAGAGACGGCGAUUAACUUGCAGAAUGUAUCAUAUUGUUUUCCAUGAUGAGUAAUGGAUAAAUGUUUAUAACAAUUUUACACCUAAAUUUGAAGAGUGAUAGAAAAUAACCAGGAUUUAUAUUAAAGGAAUUAUCUGUUUUCUGAGGAUGAUGAUACUUUCCAGAGAAUUCUUUUUCAUAUCUGGGUGGGAAACUAAAUGAAUGUUGUUAAAUCUCACUCAGUAAGAACGAUAACAUCUUCAUUUCACCCCAUACAAGGACAUCAAGAAAACUUAGUCACGGAGAUCACAUUAACAUACACAGGAGCUAAACAAAAGUUAGAUUGUGUCACAGGUUCAUUGCCAGCAUGAUAGCAGGUUCCAGAUUUAGGUCUGAUGAAUAUAAAUCAAAAGAAUGUAAUUCUACACAAUGCAUUAAAAAGUGCUCUGGGCAAACUAUCUCCCACUUGGUUUUAUGUAAAAUUGUCAAAAGCAAUAGUUUCUCCCAAAGAUACGUUCACUCUCCCCAUCCCCAAGUUUCUUUUUCAUUCACUGGGCGCCCUUAUUGGAGACAGUUUUGGAUUUUCCUGUUUCAGAUUUUUCUUUUUGUGUGUGUAGAAAAUGCUCCAAGGGAGUAAUACAAAGAAAGUGGGUGAGACAGCUGAUACCUUGAAACAGGGCUGCUUACUUUAAUUAAAAAAAAAAAAAAAA